UUAAGUUCAGCGGGUCUUCCUACCUGAUCCGAGGUCAACCUGAAAAAAAUUGGGGGUUGCUGGCGAGCACACACCCGGACCUCCAGAGCGAGAAGAAUUACUACGCUCGGAGCCGGACGGCACCGCCACUGAUUUUAGGGCCCCGCCGGGGCGGCGGGGCCCAACACCAAGCAGAGCUUGAGGGUUGUAAUGACGCUCGA
rnacentral:misc_RNA from 1 species